AACGAACGCUGGCGGCAUGCCUAACACAUGCAAGUCGAACGAGACGUCCGGGCUUAGUGGCGCACGGGUGCGUAACGCGUGGGAACCUGCCCUUAGGUUCGGAAUAACUCUCCGAGAGGGGUGCUAAUAACUGAUAAUGUUUUCGGACCAAAGAUGUAUCGCCUUUGGAUGGGCGCGGGUUGUAUUAGUUAGUUGGUAGGGAAAAGGCGUACGAAGGCGACGAUCCAUAGCUGGUCUGAGAGGGUGAUCAGACAAACUGGGACAGAGACACGGCCCAGACUCCUACAGGAGGCAGCAAAGGAGAAUAUUGGACGAAAAGCGCAAACCUGAUACAGCAAUGCGGCGAGGGUGGUGAAGGCGUUAGGAUAGUAUAGCUCUUUUACCCGGGAUGAUAAUGACGGUACCUGGAGAAAAAGCACCGGCUAACUCCGUG
rnacentral:rRNA from 1 species